GUACGAAUAGUCAAGUGGUUAAGACGCCUUGAAAUUAUAAAACUGCCCCAGGAUUUCAGGUUUCAAGGAGACGGGGGUUCGAUCCCUCCUUUCAGUAUG